rnacentral:rRNA from 1 species
CCCUUAGAUGUCCGGGGCCGCACGCGCGCUACACUGAAGGAAUCAGCGUGGCUUUCUCCCUGACCCGAAAGGGUUGGGAAACCCGUUGAAUCUCCUUCGUGAUAGGGAUUGGGGCUUGAAAUUGUUCCCCAUGAACGAGGAAUUCCCAGUAAGCGCGAGUCAUAAGCUCGCGUUGAUUACGUCCCUGCCCUUUGUACACACCGCCCGUCGCUACUACCGAUUGAAUGGUCCGGUGAAGCGUUUGGACUAUGGUUUUCUGAUGGUCCGCCGUUGGAUUACCGUGGGAAGUUCGUUAAACCUUAUCAUUUAGAGGAAGGAGAAGUCGUAACA